rnacentral:misc_RNA from 1 species
GAUGAAGAACGCAGCGAAAUGCGAUACGUAAUGUGAAUUGCAGAAUUCAGUGAAUCAUCGAAUCUUUGAACGCAUAUUGCGCUCUCUGGUAUUCCGGAGAGCAUGCUUGUUUGAGUAUCAGUAAACACCUCAACUCCCUUUCUUCUUGAAAUGGAGCUGGACUUGAGUGAUCCCAACGCUUUAUUCGUAAAGUGGCGGGUUACUUGAAAUGCAGGUGCAGCUGGACUUUUCUCUGAGCUAUAAGCAUAUCUAUUUAGUCCUCGUCAAACAGGAUUAUUACUUUUGCUGCAGCUAACAUAAAGGAUAAUUGUCCUCUUUGCUGACUGAUGCAGGAUUUUACGACACUUUAUGUGUUGUUCAACUCGAUCUCAAAUCAAGUAAGACUACCCGCUGAACUUAAGCAUAUCAAUAAGCGGAGGA